UGGGGAAUAUUGCACAAUGGGCGCAAGCCUGAUGCAGCCAUGCCGCGUGUGUGAAGAAGGCUCUAGGGUUGUAAAGCACUUUCAGUAGGGAGGAAAGGUUGUAACUUAAUACGUUGCAGCUGUGACGUUACCUACAGAAGAAGCACCGGCUAACUCCGUGCCAGCAGCCGCGGUAAUACGGAGGGUGCAAGCGUUAAUCGGAAUUACUGGGCGUAAAGCGCGCGUAGGCGGUUAGUUAAGCUAGAUGUGAAAGCCCCGGGCUCAACCUGGGAACUGCAUUUAGAACUGGCUGACUAGAGUACAGCAGAGGAUAGUGGAAUUUCUAGUGUAGCGGUGAAAUGCGUAGAUAUUAGAAGGAACACCAGUGGCGAAGGCGACUGUCUGGGCUGAUACUGACGCUGAGGUGCGAAAGCGUGGGGAGCAAACGGG
rnacentral:rRNA from 1 species